rnacentral:rRNA from 1 species
GUAGGUGGUUUGUCGCGUUGUUCGUGAAAUCUCACGGCUUAACUGUGAGCGUGCGGGCGAUACGGGCAGACUAGAGUACUGCAGGGGAGACUGGAAUUCCUGGUGUAGCGGUGGAAUGCGCAGAUAUCAGGAGGAACACCGGUGGCGAAGGCGGGUCUCUGGGCAGUAACUGACGCUGAGGAGCGAAAGCGUGGGGAGCGAACAGGAUUAGAUACCCUGGUAGUCCACGCCGUAAACGGUGGGUACUAGGUGUGGGUUUCCUUCCUUGGGAUCCGUGCCGUAGCUAACGCAUUAAGUACCCCGCCUGGGGAGUACGGCCGCAAGGCUAAAACUCAAAGAAAUUGACGGGGGCCCGCACAAGCGGCGGAGCAUGUGGAUUAAUUCGAUGCAACGCGAAGAACCUUACCUGGGUUUGACAUGCACAGGACGCCGGCAGAGAUGUCGGUUCCCUUGUGGCCUGUGUGCAGGUGGUGCAUGGCUGUCGUCAGCUCGUGUCGUGAGAUGUUGGGUUAAGUCCCGCAACGAGCGCAACCCUUGUCUCGUGUUGCCAGCGGGUAAUGCCGGGGACUCGUGAGAGACUGCCGGGGUCAACUCGGAGGAAGGUGGGGAUGACGUCAAGUCAUCAUGCCCCUUAUGUCCAGGGCUUCACACAUGCUACAAUGGCCGGUACAAAGGGCUGCGAUGCCGCGAGGUUAAGCGAAUCCUUUUAAAGCCGGUCUCAGUUCGGAUCGGGGUCUGCAACUCGACCCCGUGAAGUCGGAGUCGCU